CGAACGAUCAGACAAAAAAAAGACGGCUCGGGCUUGCAGACAGAUCCCGGUGCUUCUGAAAACAGCCGACUGGCCACAAAGCUGACUCAUCUCCCUGCCUCUGCGCAAGAAUUAAGCAGGAAACCGCCUGAAAAAUUAUCAGGGGAAGAGCACAGAGCUUCCAAACCACCUUCCCAACAUAGAAGCCUGUCAGCAAGCUGAUCACUGUUACCGAAUCCAGAGGUGCUCUGCAAUCCAGUUUGCACAAGUCUCAGGGAGCAGCACGAAGGGGAAGCUUUGAUGGCAACCACAACACAGAACCCGCUUUUUAUUCGAACAGUCAGAACCCUAAGUCAGCUCCGAUGUUCUGCACCUUCCCUGGGGUUGGGCAAGGCCUUAUGCAAUUCAUGGUCAUCAACCAGGUAUGUGAUUAAAUUACAAAUGUUUGUUUACUGGAAAAAACACCAAGACUCCGCUGUAAAGUUAGAUAGUCUCUCUUUUUUUUUUUUUUACCAAUGCUACCUGGUCACUAUUCUCCCCAUUGUUACUGGCCCUGAUGUUAGUGGCAUCUACUCUCCCCAGGGCCCAAUUGUGAGAAAUGAUUAUUAAUAACCAAUAUGUUGGGGAGACUCAGAUCCCUCCCCUUCUUCCAAAGUCCUGAAAGUUCAGUCUCUUGAAGGACAUUACUGAUAAUGAGAUUGAAUUAACUCUCCUCAGUUUUGAUAAGACCCCACCCAACCUUACAAGGAAUUUAAUCUAAGGUGGCUGAAGCCUAUUGUUUUCUACUCAAGCUUGGAGGAAGACAGAUCCUUUUGUCCUGAUAACCCAAGGCUACCCAAGGUCUGGGUAUAGAGAUAGCAUGAUACCACUCUUAGCCCCUCAUUGAACACCCAAGGUAUAUAAACUGUAAGCCACCAUGAUUGUCUUUGGUCUAAGAGAGAAAGCCCAAUGACCACCCUUUUAUUAAUAACCUGCUGGC
rnacentral:lncRNA from 1 species